CACUCCUGCGGGAGGCAGCAGUGGGGAAUUUUGGACAAUGGGCGAAAGCCUGAUCCAGCAAUGCCGCGUGAGUGAAGAAGGCCUUCGGGUUGUAAAGCUCUUUUGUCAGGGAAGAAACGGUGAGAGCUAAUAUCUCUUGCUAAUGACGGUACCUGAAGAAUAAGCACCGGCUAACUACGUGCCAGCAGCCGCGGUAAUACGUAGGGUGCAAGCGUUAAUCGGAAUUACUGGGCGUAAAGCGUGCGCAGGCGGUUUUGUAAGUCUUAUGUGAAAUCCCCGGGCUCAACCUGGGAAUUGCAUUGGAGACUGCAAGGCUAGAAUCUGGCAGAGGGGGGUAGAAUUCCACGUGUAGCAGUGAAAUGCGUAGAUAUGUGGAGGAACACCGAUGGCGAAGGCAGCCCCCUGGGUCAAGAUUGACGCUCAUGCACGAAAGCGUGGGGAGCAAACAGGAUUAGAUACCCCUGUAGUCCC
rnacentral:rRNA from 1 species